GUAGGGAAUAUUGCGCAAUGGACGAAAGUCUGACGCAGCGACGCCGCGUGAGUGAUGAAGGCCUUAGGGUCGUAAAGCUCUGUUGAAUGGGAAGAAAAAAAUGACGGUACCAUUCGAGGAAGGACCGGCUAACUUCGUGCCAGCAGCCGCGGUAAUACGAGGGGUCCUAGCGUUGUUCGGAAUCAUUGGGCGUAAAGGGUGUGUAGGUGGCCAUAUAAGUCAGGUGUGAAAGCCCCGGGCUCAACCCGGGAAGUGCACUUGAUACUGCGUGGCUUGAGUACCGAAGAGGGUAGUGGAAUUCCAGGUGUAGUGGUGAAAUACGUAGAUAUCUGGAGGAACACCGGUGGCGAAGGCGGCUACCUGGUCGAGUACUGACACUGAGACACGAAAGCAUGGGGAUCAAACAGGAUUAGAUACCCUGGUAGUCC
rnacentral:rRNA from 1 species